rnacentral:lncRNA from 1 species
AUCUGGUCAAGGAAGAUCAAUAGUUGAAAAAAGAACUGCGUCAACAUAAUUUGAAAAAAAAAUAGCUAAAUGGUAUAACAUGAUCUUAGGAGAAACAUAUAGAUGAACAUUAUCAAUGACCUUUGUAUUAGAAAAGCUCUGAAAAAGACAUUCAACAACCAAGAUACACUCACAACCUAUGAUUUUGAAGCCCUCUACACAUCCUUAAAACUGGAAUCAGUCGGCAUAGCCUUCUAUAGAUUCUUGAUCCAGCAUAUACCACAGGUGCAGUGUGUGGCACCAGUAUUGAGGGACAUUGUCCACCUAAUAAGCUAUGGCUCCUAUUUUUCAUUUAAAUGAGUGACAUAUCUGCAAAGAACAGGAGUACCAAUGGGAAGCCCAGUAGCUGGACCUCUAGUAGAGAUUUUGCUAAGAACUGUAGAGGAUGAGAGAAUUCUAUCUUUCCAGCCCUCAUUAAAAUUUUAUAUACAAUAUGUAGACAAUAUACUAGCAAUAUGAGAGGAUGACAGUAGAAUAGAAGAGUUUGUAAAUGCAUUCACAAUACAGACAUAUGGAAUAGCGUUGAAGAAAAAAUAACAAAGCACAUACAACAUUCACUACUUGGACUGGAUAUAAGUAUAGAUAAUAGGCAACUGAAGACUAAAAUGUAUAGAAAGCCAACAUAUGUAC